GUGCUCUCAUCAACAGCACAUAUACUGAAACUGCAAUGAGACUGAAGUUAGCAUGGCUCUUGCCCCAGGAUGACAGGCAAAUUCAUGAAGUAUUCCAUACUUUA